CUUUUUAAAAAAUGCGCCAUUACAAUCGAAACUGCUCGCGAUAGAUAACUCGAAUAUAUCGAUAAUCAGCGCCAUCAUGGCGUCACGUCGAUGAAAACUUCGCAAAUUUAGUGCGCAAUUCGAAACGGUGACCUGUAAACGAAAUUGGUGUUUAUAAUAGUAGUAAAACGUAGUGAAACGAGGUAUUAACGGUUAUAAGCGAUUCAAAUUACAUCAGUAUAUAGACAGGCACCUACUACAAUCAGUGUGCAUCAUGUACAAUUACAUGUGACUCCGGCGUGUGCAACCACCGAUUAAUUUAUCGUUCCAUUAUGAAAUAUUAACCUUCCAAUCGGCUACUUUAUUGGAGUUUAUCGCGUCGACAGUACUUCGUAACUUUACACCUCGAGAGUAAUAAUAGUGCAUUAUAAUUUGAUGAAAGAGAGACACGAAGGAUUGUAAACAGGACAUUUCAAAGAUAUUCAAAGAUAUUCGAACAAGUAUGCAUGAAUAAAUGAAUUGAAUGCAUGAAUCGAUAUCUCGGCCGGCAGCUAACCCGACUAAACGAAUAUUUAAGUAUUCAUUAUUCCUUCUUGCCAGAGGUUUACGGGAGUGAAAGCUAAGGCUCGUUGGGGAUCGAAAAUCUCGAAUAAGACGAGCCAUGCAUUAUAGAUACCUAUUCAGAGCACCGGUGGGUAGUUCGUAACCACGUUGGCACCGGAAGAGCCUAGUUUGGUGGGCCCUCAGACAGGCAGUCGAAAAAGGAGAGAAAGAGAGAGAGAGAUCAUCUUCCACAAAUAGAAGUGAUACGGAAAAUCGGUAAAAUGGGAGAGAAAAAGAGAAAUUAGACUUUCAUGAGUAAAAGUGACGAAUCGAGAAAAGAAGAAACGAAGAGUAGAAUGAAAUAGUAGAAAGAGAGGAGAAUAUACAGAGAAUCAGUCAGAGGAAAGGUGAGAUUAGAUCUCACUUUCUACAAAUGAAAGUGGAUACUGAGAAUCGAGAAAAUUGAAAGAAUGGGAAAUGAAGAGUCGGAAAAGAGGCUAAAAGGAGGUAUAAAUAAUUGAAUGAUCCAAAAAUGAAAAAGGUAAGGAAGAGAACGGGAACAGGAUCGAAAAAAGAUAGAAAAGGGAAACAGAGAGGAAAAAUACCUACGGUGGUAUGGAUGGUGAGAAAAGAUGGUGUGGCAUGGCAAAAAGAGAGCGGAAACGUUGGGUAGGGGUAAGGUAGAGGGUUCAAAUGAUUUAGCCCCGCCGUGGGGUUAGAUCCGCAAUUUCUGUUUGAAACAUUCAUGAGAAAUAUUCCUCGUCUAGUACCGCAGCUGCAGCGUUUAAAGAAUUGCGCCACGCGGUCGCGACCGUUUACUUAUCUGGAUGGCUUCCUCCUCGGGGCUUCCACCCAGUCUUGAAGAAACCAGGGAAGAAUGUUUCGCCCGCAUAACCGGAUCUUUCUCCGCGGCCAGGCCUUACGAACUGAAAAAAGAAAAGAAAAAA